AGGGGGGAAGCGCACAGCCCGAGGACUGCGAGGACGGGGAGGACGCGCUGCGGCCGGGCAGGGAGGAGACCGGCACCUAGACAGGUGGCGACGGCAGAGGAGGUGUCUCAAGCUCCUGCUCUUAAAACACCUGCAAGAGAAUCAUCCAGGCGGCUUGCUCGCUCUGUAUGCAGACCCUUUAGAAUCAGAAUCAGAAUCCCUGGGGCUGGAGCCACAAAAUGAAAUGACAUUUCAACAAGUUUGUCAUCACGUAAGAGAGAAUAGCUUGUCUUCUUCUCUCCCAGUAGUUUCUUCAUGAAGAGGCCAUGUACUAUAUUCCAUGAGAUAUUUCAAACUCAAAGA
rnacentral:lncRNA from 1 species